UACAGAGGUCUCAAGCGUUGUUCGGAUUCAUUGGGCGUAAAGGGUGCGUAGGUGGCGCGGUAAGUCGGGUGUGAAAUUUCGGAGUUUAACUCCGAAACUGCAUUCGAUACUGCCGUGCUUGAGGACUGGAGAGGAGACUGGAAUUUACGGUGUAGCAGUGAAAUGCGUAGAGAUCGUAAGGAAGACCAGUGGCGAAGGCGGGUCUCUGGACAGUUCCUGACACUGAGGCACGAAGGCCAGGGGAGCAAACGGG
rnacentral:rRNA from 1 species